rnacentral:misc_RNA from 1 species
GGUGUUCUUUUUAAAAAACAAUUUCCAUUGCACUUUGUCGUUGCCUUAAUUAAAUGGUGAAAUCAUCAGAAAUAUUUAUUUUCCUAUACUUAUACAUUUAUUAAGCUUGUUUCCAUUUUUUUAUUUUGUGAUUUUUUAAGUGGAUUUAAGAUAACCUAAACAUUAGAGAGGAUUUUCAUGGUUUUGAUUCAUGAAAUCAUAAUGUUAUACAAACCUAACUGAAGUGUUAGAGCCUUGAAGAUUUUUCCCCCGAAUUACAUAUAGUAACUCUACUUGUAUUUAAUACUGAAAGCAUAUUUUACUUAUUUAAGUGAGACAAAGUAAAAUUUAGCUGAAUACUUUAGAUCUAUCAUUUCCUUUUCCUGUUGUAAGAACAUUACAUUGUGUUGAAAUUAAAGUGGAUAUAGAAGGUAAUUAGAAUAAACUGCCACAUCAUUUUUAUAGUAAAGUGGUAAUAACACUAUUGCUUUCUGUUUUUUUAAUCAGAAGGAGUAUGGGCUUAUAAUGAUGUUACUGUUCCCUGAAGCAUAUUUUGAAUGAUACGGUUUAUAUUUGCACAGUUGCCCAGUAGAGACGGGGUUUCACCGUGUUAGCCAGGAUGGUCUCGAUCUCCUGACCUCGUGAUCUGCCUGCCUCGGCCUCCCAAAGUGCUGGGAUUACAGAAAAUUAACAGUUGGCAUUUGGCUUAGUUCAAGUAUAAUGCUGUUGACAAGUAUAUCUGACACGUCAUUGAACUAAUAAUAUUUUUGAAAGCUGAUAGUUGCAGAUUUGUUGCCAAAUGAACGAGUUUGUAGUAUUGCUAACAAGGAGAAGAAUUACUAGCAAGUCUUGAUGUUACUUUUGAAGAGUGUGAUGAUUGCAUUUAGGAAGAUAUCUAAACUUCUGUUUCAAAGCAAAAAGUUUUUGGAUUCAAAGCAUAAAAACCAUUACAAGAUAUACAAUCUUUGUGCUGAAAGACAUUAUGACACCGCCAAAUUUAAUUGCAGAGUUGCACAAUAUCCUUUUGAAGACCAUAACCCACCACAGCUAGAACUUAUCAAACCCUUUUGUGAAGAUCUUGACCAAUGGCUAAGUGAAGAUGACAAUCAUGUUGCAGCAAUUCACUGUAAAGCUGGAAAGGGACGAACUGGUGUAAUGAUAUGUGCAUAUUUAUUACAUCGGGGCAAAUUUUUAAAGGCACAAGAGGCCCUAGAUUUCUAUGGGGAAGUAAGGACCAGAGACAAAAAGGGAGUAACUAUUCCCAGUCAGAGGCGCUAUGUGUAUUAUUAUAGCUACCUGUUAAAGAAUCAUCUGGAUUAUAGACCAGUGGCACUGUUGUUUCACAAGAUGAUGUUUGAAACUAUUCCAAUGUUCAGUGGCGGAACUUGCAAUCCUCAGUUUGUGGUCUGCCAGCUAAAGGUGAAGAUAUAUUCCUCCAAUUCAGGACCCACACGACGGGAAGACAAGUUCAUGUACUUUGAGUUCCCUCAGCCGUUACCUGUGUGUGGUGAUAUCAAAGUAGAGUUCUUCCACAAACAGAACAAGAUGCUAAAAAAGGACAAAAUGUUUCACUUUUGGGUAAAUACAUUCUUCAUACCAGGACCAGAGGAAACCUCAGAAAAAGUAGAAAAUGGAAGUCUAUGUGAUCAAGAAAUCGAUAGCAUUUGCAGUAUAGAGCGUGCAGAUAAUGACAAGGAAUAUCUAGUACUUACUUUAACAAAAAAUGAUCUUGACAAAGCAAAUAAAGACAAAGCCAACCGAUACUUUUCUCCAAAUUUUAAGGUGAAGCUGUACUUCACAAAAACAGUAGAGGAGCCGUCAAAUCCAGAGGCUAGCAGUUCAACUUCUGUAACACCAGAUGUUAGUGACAAUGAACCUGAUCAUUAUAGAUAUUCUGACACCACUGACUCUGAUCCAGAGAAUGAACCUUUUGAUGAAGAUCAGCAUACACAAAUUACAAAAGUCUGAAUUUUUUUUUAUCAAGAGGGAUAAAACACCAUGAAAAUAAACUUGAAUAAACUGAAAAUGGACCUUUUUUUUUUUAAUGGCAAUAGGACAUUGUGUCAGAUUACCAGUUAUAGGAACAAUUCUCUUUUCCUGACCAAUCUUGUUUUACCCUAUACAUCCACAGGGUUUUGACACUUGUUGUCCAGUUGAAAAAAGGUUGUGUAGCUGUGUCAUGUAUAUACCUUUUUGUGUCAAAAGGACAUUUAAAAUUCAAUUAGGAUUAAUAAAGAUGGCACUUUCCCGUUUUAUUCCAGUUUUAUAAAAAGUGGAGACAGACUGAUGUGUAUACGUAGGAAUUUUUUCCUUUUGUGUUCUGUCACCAACUGAAGUGGCUAAAGAGCUUUGUGAUAUACUGGUUCACAUCCUACCCCUUUGCACUUGUGGCAACAGAUAAGUUUGCAGUUGGCUAAGAGAGGUUUCCGAAGGGUUUUGCUACAUUCUAAUGCAUGUAUUCGGGUUAGGGGAAUGGAGGGAAUGCUCAGAAAGGAAAUAAUUUUAUGCUGGACUCUGGACCAUAUACCAUCUCCAGCUAUUUACACACACCUUUCUUUAGCAUGCUACAGUUAUUAAUCUGGACAUUCGAGGAAUUGGCCGCUGUCACUGCUUGUUGUUUGCGCAUUUUUUUUUAAAGCAUAUUGGUGCUAGAAAAGGCAGCUAAAGGAAGUGAAUCUGUAUUGGGGUACAGGAAUGAACCUUCUGCAACAUCUUAAGAUCCACAAAUGAAGGGAUAUAAAAAUAAUGUCAUAGGUAAGAAACACAGCAACAAUGACUUAACCAUAUAAAUGUGGAGGCUAUCAACAAAGAAUGGGCUUGAAACAUUAUAAAAAUUGACAAUGAUUUAUUAAAUAUGUUUUCUCAAUUGUAACGACUUCUCCAUCUCCUGUGUAAUCAAGGCCAGUGCUAAAAUUCAGAUGCUGUUAGUACCUACAUCAGUCAACAACUUACACUUAUUUUACUAGUUUUCAAUCAUAAUACCUGCUGUGGAUGCUUCAUGUGCUGCCUGCAAGCUUCUUUUUUCUCAUUAAAUAUAAAAUAUUUUGUAAUGCUGCACAGAAAUUUUCAAUUUGAGAUUCUACAGUAAGCGUUUUUUUUCUUUGAAGAUUUAUGAUGCACUUAUUCAAUAGCUGUCAGCCGUUCCACCCUUUUGACCUUACACAUUCUAUUACAAUGAAUUUUGCAGUUUUGCACAUUUUUUAAAUGUCAUUAACUGUUAGGGAAUUUUACUUGAAUACUGAAUACAUAUAAUGUUUAUAUUAAAAAGGACAUUUGUGUUAAAAAGGAAAUUAGAGUUGCAGUAAACUUUCAAUGCUGCACACAAAAAAAAGACAUUUGAUUUUUCAGUAGAAAUUGUCCUACAUGUGCUUUAUUGAUUUGCUAUUGAAAGAAUAGGGUUUUUUUUUUUUUUUUUUUUUUUUUUUUUAAAUGUGCAGUGUUGAAUCAUUUCUUCAUAGUGCUCCCCCGAGUUGGGACUAGGGCUUCAAUUUCACUUCUUAAAAAAAAUCAUCAUAUAUUUGAUAUGCCCAGACUGCAUACGAUUUUAAGCGGAGUACAACUACUAUUGUAAAGCUAAUGUGAAGAUAUUAUUAAAAAGGUUUUUUUUUCCAGAAAUUUGGUGUCUUCAAAUUAUACCUUCACCUUGACAUUUGAAUAUCCAGCCAUUUUGUUUCUUAAUGGUAUAAAAUUCCAUUUUCAAUAACUUAUUGGUGCUGAAAUUGUUCACUAGCUGUGGUCUGACCUAGUUAAUUUACAAAUACAGAUUGAAUAGGACCUACUAGAGCAGCAUUUAUAGAGUUUGAUGGCAAAUAGAUUAGGCAGAACUUCAUCUAAAAUAUUCUUAGUAAAUAAUGUUGACACGUUUUCCAUACCUUGUCAGUUUCAUUCAACAAUUUUUAAAUUUUUAACAAAGCUCUUAGGAUUUACACAUUUAUAUUUAAACAUUGAUAUAUAGAGUAUUGAUUGAUUGCUCAUAAGUUAAAUUGGUAAAGUUAGAGACAACUAUUCUAACACCUCACCAUUGAAAUUUAUAUGCCACCUUGUCUUUCAUAAAAGCUGAAAAUUGUUACCUAAAAUGAAAAUCAACUUCAUGUUUUGAAGAUAGUUAUAAAUAUUGUUCUUUGUUACAAUUUCGGGCACCGCAUAUUAAAACGUAACUUUAUUGUUCCAAUAUGUAACAUGGAGGGCCAGGUCAUAAAUAAUGACAUUAUAAUGGGCUUUUGCACUGUUAUUAUUUUUCCUUUGGAAUGUGAAGGUCUGAAUGAGGGUUUUGAUUUUGAAUGUUUCAAUGUUUUUGAGAAGCCUUGCUUACAUUUUAUGGUGUAGUCAUUGGAAAUGGAAAAAUGGCAUUAUAUAUAUUAUAUAUAUAAAUAUAUAUUAUACAUACUCUC